rnacentral:rRNA from 1 species
GGCCACCGGCUUGCGGUUGCCUCUCGGUUAUACCCUUGUCCGGUGGUCCUCCUCGCGGGGACGCCGUGGGCCUUUGCUGGUUUGCGGAUGUGAACCGUGACGUUUACUUUGAAAAAAUUAGAGUGUUCAAGGCAGGCGUAAGCCAUUAGAUAUUACAGCAUGGGAUAAUAGAAUAUGACAUUGGUCUUAUUUUGUUGGUUUCUAAGGCUGAUGUA